GCUAGUAUUAUAUUAGGAAUUUUUGCAUUGAUGUUGUCAGGGAUAUUGGCCUGGAUUGAGCAGGCCAUUUUCAAUCCAGAGGAAGACCUUCUAAAAGAGGUGAUGGAUGGGAGAGUGCUGACAUACUAUGUGAAGCUACUAUUUGGAGUUGGACACGAGUGCAUGUGACCUUGUGCCACAGCGGGAAUCUUGACUACCACACAAAUGAAUCCAUUCAAAUGUUGGCAAGUGGAGCAGAGUCCCAGGACAGGUACAGAAACACCCCCAGUUCAAGAAUCUUCACAUCUGAAUUUAGUCCUACACCUGCAACUACCCCAGCUACUUACACCAAGAUGAAGAUAAUUUAUUAGUUCAGGAAGAAUCUCCAUUCUGAAGGCAAAUAGAAGUUCCAGCUACAGAUGGGCAGACACAUGCCCUCUCAAUUCCUGAUGGACCUCCUUGUGCCUCCUGGACCUAAGGGGCCUCCCUCAAUGUUUCAAGAUGCCACCAAGGCAGGGAUCAGCUCGUGCAUUCCUGAGAACAUCCAGGAUGAAAUGAGGCUCUGGAAAAAUGCAAGAGUUUCCACAUAAUCCCAAAAAACCCUACAGGUGAACUGGAUGCCACAGAAAGAGGAGUGGUCUUUGACACAACAAAAUCAACAAAAUUAUUUCGAAGUCAAUUAGGAAACUCAGAAAUCACUCUUGCUGUCAUUAAGAGGAAGAACAGGAGCCUGUGAAUGGCAUCCCUGGCCUUCCCCAGACUCCACAGAUAUUUCUAUGUGGCUUCAGACAACAGAAAUCUCUGUGAUUUUCAGAAAGGCAGGGACAGCUCAUGCCAGCCCAUCCCUCUGCAGAAUGUGUCCCAGCAGAUCAGUGGCAUGGAACCAUCAUGGACAGCACAAAGGCUCAAGGGCAGCAUCCCAGGCCGGCCUGUGACUCUAGAUAAGUUCUGAGUCCCCAUGGGGGCUCAGGAAAGGUUAGUGAUGACCUGGAAAGAAGGGACUGGCUGAAACCUCCCCUAAGCAAUCUGCAGGAUUCCAACUUCAGCAGGAAGCCAAGGACCAGCUCGUACCACAACGGCUCCCCCUGAAAACGCUGGAUACAAUCCCACUCUGCAGAAAGUUCCACAUAGAAGUGGCUGGGAAUUUUGCCUUCUAGACUGCAUUUUACAGUGCCUCUGGACAUGUGAUGAGAAAGUUAACAUUGGUGUAUCUAGCUCUGACAUAUUUCACGAAGCGAUUUUUAAAAAUGUGGUAAAAAAGACAAAAUAUAAUUGAAACAUAUGCAUUAUAUGUCAGAGUAUGCUUCGCUGGCAUCAAG
ensembl:lncRNA FAM66D family with sequence similarity 66 member D